UAGGGAAUCUUCGGCAAUGGGGGGAACCCUGACCGAGCAACGCCGCGUGAGUGAAGAAGGUUUUCGGAUCGUAAAGCUCUGUUGUUAAGGAAGAACGAGUGUGAGAAUGGAAAGUUCAUACUGUGACGGUACUUAACCAGAAAGGGACGGCUAACUACGUGCCAGCAGCCGCGGUAAUACGUAGGUCCCGAGCGUUGUCCGGAUUUAUUGGGCGUAAAGCGAGCGCAGGCGGUUAGAUAAGUCUGAAGUUAAAGGCAGUGGCUCAACCAUUGUAGGCUUUGGAAACUGUUUAACUUGAGUGCAGAAGGGGAGAGUGGAAUUCCAUGUGUAGCGGUGAAAUGCGUAGAUAUAUGGAGGAACACCGGUGGCGAAAGCGGCUCUCUGGUCUGUAACUGACGCUGAGGCUCGAAAGCGUGGGGAGCGAACAGGAUUAGAUACCCGGGUAGUCCACGCCGUAAACGAUGAGUGCUAGGUGUUAGGUCCUUUCCGGGACUUAGUGCCGCAGCUAACGCAUUAAGCACUCCGCCUGGGGAGUACGACCGCAAGGUUG
rnacentral:rRNA from 1 species